GGUGGCCGAGUUCGAAGCUCAUUUAGAAAAAAAUAUUUUUAGAUAAAAAAUAUUUUUAAAAAAAUAAAAAAUUAUUUAUUAUUUUUAGAUAAAAAAUAUUUUCAAAAAAAUAAAAAAUCAUCGGGCCCUCAGAAUUGGAUUUCGUGUUAUUAUUUUGCGUUAAUAUUAUUUUACCCGCUCAACUACUUAUAGUUUAUUUUAUAUUUAUUGCAUAAAUUUUUUCGUGUUACUAUAGUUUUUGCAGUGAAAGCCUGUAUAUUUGAUGUCGGUUUGAAAUUGCAGUCGCUAUGUCGAUUUUUGCAAGAGAA
rnacentral:lncRNA from 1 species